GAUGAACGCUGGCGGCGUGCCUAAUACAUGCAAGUCGAACGCAGUGGGGACGGGUGCGUAACACGUGGGUAACCUCCCAUCAGAGGGGAUAACACUUGGAAACAGGUGCUAAACCGAUACUGAUGGAUGGAACCGCGGUGCAUAAGCUAGUGGGUGAGGAAACGGCUCACCAAGGCCACGAUGCAUAGCCGACCUGAGAGGUUGAUCGGCCAAACUGGGACUGAGACACGGCCCAGACUCCUACGGGAGGCAGCAGUAGGGAAUCUUCGGCAAUGGACGAAAGUCUGACCGAGCAACGCCGCGUGAGUGAAGAAGGUUUUCGGAUCGUAAAACUCUGUUAGUAGGGAAGCGGUACCUGAUCAGAAAGCCACGGCUAACUACGUGCCAGCAGCCGCGGUAAUAC
rnacentral:rRNA from 1 species